CUCGCAGGCUCUUAUUAUGGAGUUUAUAAUAAAAAAUGAAAAAGUUUUUAAUUUGAUCAUGUUUUGGUGAUAUGAAAACGUUUGUAUGCAUGAGUUCAAGUUAGGUAAUGCCUCAUAUUCUGUCCCGGUGUAAGGCUCGGGUGUGGGGUGUUACAGACGUGAUUCUCACCGAGUGGCGAGUAGAAUCCUUUGUAGACGACUUAAAUACGCGGCAGGGUAUUGUAAGUGGCAGAGUGGCCUUGUUGCAAUGAUCCACUAAGAUUCAACCCUUUAUCGCUUCAAUUC
rnacentral:ncRNA from 1 species